rnacentral:rRNA from 1 species
AUUGAACGCUGGCGGCAGGCCUAACACAUGCAAGUCGAACGCGUGGCGGACGGGUUAGUAAUGUCUGGGCAACUGCCCGAUGGAGGGGGAUAACUACUGGAAACGGUUGCUAAUACCGCAUACCAUCGGAUGUGCCCAGAUGGGAUUAGCUGGUGGGGGGGGUAACGGCUCACCAAGGCGACGAUCCCUAGCUGGUCUGAGAGGAUGACCAGCCACACUGGAACUGAGACACGGGCCAGACUCCUACGGGAGGCAGCAGUGGGGAAUAGUGCACAAUGGGCGAAAGCCUGAUGCAGCCAUGCCGCGUGUAUGAAGAAGGCCUUCGGGGUGUAAAGUACUUUCAGCGGGGAGGCGUUACUCGCAGAAGAAGCACCGGCUAACUCCGUGCCAGCAGCCGCGGUAAUUC